rnacentral:lncRNA from 1 species
GUUGGGGAGGAGUCCCUCUUUUUCUCUUGUUUGGAAUAGUUUCAGAAGGAAUGGUACCAGCUCCUCUUUGUACCUCUGGUAGAAUUUGUCUGUGAAUCCGUCUUGUCCUGGGCUUUUUUUGGUUGGCAGGCUAUUAAUUUCUGCCUCAAUUUCAGAACUUGUUAUUGGUCUAUUCAGGGAUUCAACUGGUUUAGUCUUGGGAGGGUGUGUGUUUCCAGGAAUUUAUCAAUUUCUUCUAGAUGUUUUAGUAUAUUUUCAUAGAGGUGUUUAUAGUAUUCUCUGAUGGUAGUUUGUAUUUCUGUGGGAUCAGUGGUGAUAUCCCCUUUAUCAUUUUUUAUUGUGUCUAUUUGAUUCUUCUCUCUUUCCUUCAUUAUUAGUCUUGCUAGAGGUCUAUCUAUUUUGUUAAUCUUUCCAAAAAACAGCUCCUGGAUUCACUGACUUUUUGUAGGAUUUCUCAUGUCUCUAUCUACUUCAGUUCUGCUCUGAUCUUACUUAUUUCUUGUUUUCUGCUAGUUUUGAAUUUGUUUGCCCUUGCUUCUCUAGUUCUUUUAAUUGUGAUGUUGGGGUGUUGAUUUUAGAUCUUUCCCGUUUUCUCCUGUGGGCAUUUAGUGCUAUAAAUUUCCCUCUAAAAACAUGCUUCAGCUGUGUCCCAGAGAUUCUGGUAUGUUGUGUCUUUGUUCUCAUUGGUUUCAAAGAACUAUUUAUUUCUGCCUUAAUUUCAUUAUUUACCCAGUAGUCAUUGAAGAGCAGGUUGUUCAGUUUCCAUGUAAUUGUGUGGUUUUGGGUGAGUUUCUUAAUCCUGAAUUCUAAUUUGAUUGCACCGUGGUCUGAGAGACUGUUUGUUAUGAUUUCCGUUUUUUUUUUUUUUUUUGCAUUUUCUGAUGAGUGUUUUACUUCCAAUUAUGUGAUCAAUUUUAGAAUAAGUGUGAUGUGGUGCUGAGAAGAAUGUGUAUUCUCUUGAUUUGGGGUGGAGAGUUCUGCAGAUGUCUAUUAGGUCCACUUGGUCCAGAGCUAAGUUUAAGUCCUGAAUAUCCUUGUUAAUUUUCUGUCUUGUUGAUCUAAUAUUGACAGUGGGGUGUUAGUCUCCCACUAUUAUUGUGUUGGAGUCUAAGUCUCUUUGUAGGUCUCUAAGAACUUGCUUUAUGAAUCUGGGUGCUCCUGUAUUGGGUG